CGGCAAUAUAAUAUUGAAACACCAGUUCUCGUACAAUAACCGAAGUUAAGCAACGUUGAGCAUAGACAGUAGCAAAUGGGUGACCGUUUGGGAAUACCAGGUGCUGUAA